rnacentral:rRNA from 1 species
AUUGAACGCUGGCGGCAGGCUUAACACAUGCAAGUCGAGCGGGGUGAUGGUGCUUGCACUAUCACUUAGCGGCGGACGGGUGAGUAAUGCUUAGGAAUCUGCCUAUUAGUGGGGGACAACAUCUCGAAAGGGAUGCUAAUACCGCAUACGUCCUACGGGAGAAAGCAGGGGAUCACUUGUGACCUUGCGCUAAUAGAUGAGCCUAAGUCGGAUUAGCUAGCUGGUGGGGUAAAGGCCUACCAAGGCGACGAUCUGUAGCGGGUCUGAGAGGAUGAUCCGCCACACUGGGACUGAGACACAGCCCAGACUCCUACGGGAGGCAGCAGUGGGGAAUAUUGGACAAUGGGGGGAACCCUGAUCCAGCCAUGCCGCGUGGGUGAAGAAGGCCUUAUGGUUGUAGAGCACUUUAAGCGAGGAGGAGGCUCUUUUGGUUAAUACCCAAGAUGAGUGGACGUUACUCGCAGAAUAAGCACCGGCUAACUCUGUGCCAGCCGCCGCAGUAA